rnacentral:rRNA from 1 species
CCUACGGGAGGCAGCAGUGAGGAAUAUUGGUCAAUGGGCGCGAGCCUGACCCAGCCACGUAGCGUGAGGGAUGACUGCCCUCCGGGUUUUAAACUCCUUUUAUAGAGGAGUAAAGUGAGGCACGUGUGCCUUUUUGUAUGUACUUUAUGAUUAAGGAACGGCGAACUCCGUUCCAGCAGCCGCGGUAAUACGGAGGGUCCGAGCGUUAUCCGGAUUUAUUGGGUGUAAAGGGAGCGUAGAGGGGUUGUUAAGUCAGUUGUGAAAGUUUGCGGCUCAACCGUAAAAUUGCAAUUGAUACUGGCAGGCUGGAGUGCAGUUGAGGUAGGCGGAAUUCGUGGUGUAGCGGUGAAAUGCGUAGAGAUCACGAAGAACACCGAUGGCGAAGGC